rnacentral:rRNA from 1 species
CGGCGAGUGAAGCGGUAAUAGCUCAAAUUUGAAAUCUGGCUCUAGGGUCCGAGUUGUAAUUUGUAGAGGAUGUUUCGGGUGCGCCCGCAGUUUAAGUUCCUUGGAACAGGACGUCAUAGAGGGUGAGAAUCCCGUCUUGAACUGUACGGCAAGUCCAUGUGAAACUCCUUCGACGAGUCGAGUUGUUUGGGAAUGCAGCUCAAAAUGGGAGGUAAAUUUCUUCUAAAGCUAAAUAUUGGCCAGAGACCGAUAGCGCACAAGUAGAGUGAUCGAAAGAUGAAAAGCACUUUGAAAAGAGAGUUAAACAGUAUGUGAAAUUGUUAAAAGGGAAGCGUUUGCAACCAGACUUGUUUCUAACAGUUCUACCGCAGUUCUCUGUGGCUUAUUCUGUUAGUCCAGGCCAGCAUCAGUUUGGGUGGCUCGUUAAAGACUUUGGGAAUGUAUCUACUCCUUCGGGUGUAGACUUAUAGCCCAUUGUGUAAUAGGGUCUACCUGGACUGAGGUACGCGCAU